rnacentral:lncRNA from 8 species
UUUCCUUUGUGUGUGUGUGUGUGUGGGUGUGUGUGUGUGUGUGUGUGUGUGUGUGUGGUGCAGUGCCUCUUUGGAAGUACGAACGGUAGUAUAGCUCAGGUCAGCUUGAUCAGUGACCUUCAAUAACCCCCAUCCACCCGUUGUCUCUCCCUCCACCCGUUGUCCCUUCACCCGUUGUCUCUCCACCCGUUGUCCCUCCCUCCACCCGCUGUCUCUCCACCCGUUGUCUCUCCCUCCACCCGCUGUCUCUCCAUCCACCCUCCACCCUCUCUCUCUCCACCCACUGUCUCUCCAUCCACCCUCCACCCUCUCUCUCUCCACCCGUUGUCUCUCCCUCCACCCGUUGUCUCUUCCUCCACCCGUUGUCUCUCCCUCCACCCGUUGUCUCUCCCUCCACCCAUUGUCUCUCCAUCCACCCUCUCUCUCUCCACCCGUUGUCUCUCCCUCCACCCCCUCUCUCUCCACCCAUUGUCUCUCUCUCCACCCGUUGUCUCUCCAUCCACCCUCUCUCCCUCCACCCGUUGUCCCUCCACCGGUUGUCCCUCCACCCGUUGUCCCUCCACCCGUUGUCUCUCCCUCCACCCUCCACCCUCUCUCUCUCCACCCGUUGUCUCUCCCUCCACCCUCCACCCUCUCUCCAUCCACCCGUUGUCUCUCCCUCCACCCUCUCUCUCUCCACCCGUUGUCUCUCCAUCCACCCUCUCUCUCUCCACCCGUUGUCUCUCCCUCCACCCUCUCUCUCUCCACCCGUUGUCUCUCCAUCCACCCUCUCUCUCUCCACCCGUUGUCUCUCCAUCCACCCUCUCUCUCUCCACCCGUUGUCUCUCCCUCCACCCUCUCUCUCCACCCGUUGUCUCUCCAUCCACCCUCUCUCUCUCCACCCGUUGUCUCUCCAUCCACCCUCUCUCUCUCCACCCAUUGUCUCUCCCUCCACCCUCUCUCUCUCCACCCGUUGUCUCUCCAUCCACCCUCUCUCUCUCCACCCGUUGUCUCUCCAUCCACCCUCUCUCUCUCCACCCGUUGUCUCUCCAUCCACCAUCUCUCUCUCCACCCGUUGUCUCUCCAUCCACCCUCUCUCCCUCCACCCGUUGUCUCUCCCUCCACCCUCUCUCUCUCCACCCAUUGUCUCUCCCUCCACCCUCUCUCCCUCUACCCGUUGUCUCUCCAUCCACCCGUUGUCUCUCCACCCAUUGUCUCUCCAUCCACCCUCUCUCCCUCCACCCGUUGUCUCUCCAUCCACCCGUUGUCUCUCCACCCAUUGUCUCUCCAUCCACCCUCUCCUCCUCCUUCCAGUUGUUUUUAUU